UCGCAUGAUUCAGAUGUUACAGUUCCGGCGGUUAAAGAUGGGCAUGCGUGCCAUUAGGUAGUUGGCGGGGUAACGGCCCACCAAGCCUGCGAUGGCUACGGGGUCUAAAAGGAUGGUCCCGCACACUGGUACUGAGACACGGACCAGACUCCUACGGGAGGCAGCAGUGAGGAAUAUUGGUCAAUGGGGGCAACCCUGAACCAGCCAUGCCGCGUGGAGGAAGACGGCCCUAUGGGUUGUAAACUCCUUUUGUACGGGAAUAAUAGCACCUACGUGUAGGUGUAUGAAGGUACUGUACGAAUAAGGAUCGGCUAACUCCAUGCCAGCAGCCGCGGUAAUACGGAGGAUCCAAGCGUUAUCCGGAUUUAUUAGGUUUAAAGGGUGCGCAGGCGGCCCUAUAAGUCAGUGGUGAAAGUUUGCGGCUCAACCGUAAAAUUGCCAUUGAUACUGUAGGGCUUGAAUAUGGUAGAGGUAGGCGGAAUGUGUAGUGUAGCGGUGAAAUGCUUAGAGAUUACACAGAACACCGAUUGCGAAGGCAGCUUACUAUGCCAUGAUUGACGCUGAGGCACGAAAGCGUGGGUAGCGAACAGGAUUAGAUACCCUGGUAGUCCACGCCGUAAACGAUGAUUACUGGUUGUGUGCGAUAUACAGUGCGCGACUGAGGGAAACCAUUAAGUAAUCCACCUGGGGAGUACGUUCGCAAGAAUGAAACUCAAAGGAAUUGACGGGGGCCCGCACAAGCGGUGGAGCAUGUGGUUUAAUUCGAUGCAACGCGAAGAACCUUACCUGGUCUUGACAUGGUAGGAAUCCUGCAGAGAUGCGGGAGUGCCUUCGGGAGCCUAUACACAGGUGCUGCAUGGCUGUCGUCAGCUCGUGUCGUGAGAUGUUGGGUUAAGUCCCGCAACGAGCGCAACCCUUGUCCUUAGUUGCCAGCACGUUAUGGUGGGAACUCUAAGGAGACCGCCGGUGACAAACCGGAGGAAGGUGGGGACGACGUCAAGUCAUCAUGGCCCUUAUGACCAGGGCUACACACGUGCUACAAUGGUCGGUACAAAGGGUUGCCAAGCCGCGAGGUGGAGCCAAUCCCAUAAAACCGAUCGUAGUCCGGAUUGGAGUCUGCAACUCGACUCCAUGAAGUCGGAAUCGCUAGUAAUCGUAGAUCAGCAUUGCUACGGUGAAUACGUUCCCGGGCCUUGUACACACCGCCCGUCACACCAUGG
rnacentral:rRNA from 1 species